UUAAGGUCGCCGCAAAGAGUCAAGAGGAACCGCUUGAAUUCUUAGGUACUUUCUUUGACAAACCUGUGGUUAUAAUGAGGUUUCUCACUUGCUCAUGAGGCAGUCCAUUCUUGACAACCUGAGUACUUUCUCUUUGUGGUCUAUGUAAUCGACAAAGGAGCCCAGGCGUGAUGCACGUAAGAGUGUUUGUUUAUGUUGGUGAGUCUGGAAGUCAUAUAGACCCUUCUGCCUCCUUCUUCUAAAGAUUGGUCAACUCUUACUAAAGAUGCCCCAGACUUCUAGCAGGGGGGAGUUUCCUUUUUUUUUUAACACACAAGGGAUGCACACCCAUGCACAUUUACUCCACCUCCCUCUCCACCCCUCCUUCCUUCCUCUUACUGCCGUUUUUUCUGAAUGGUCCUGUCCUCUUCCUAACCUCAACCGAGUGCUCUGUAAGGAGAGACUGCCCUCCGCGUUAGGCUCAGCCCCCCAACUGUGCAGCUAUAAGAGAGAGUGCUGUCGGACUUGUGUGUGUGAGAGCUGGACGGUGUCAGUCAGUCAGACAGUACUUUUCAUUUGGUUGCAGGGGUGGGAGGGUUUAUGGGAGAGAGGCAGGGUGAGAGGAAGAGAGAGGGAGAGCACUGUGAAACAUGUGAUAGUGCAACUCUGGCCGGGGCUUGUAGGGAGUUUAACGGCUGUGGUGUCUCCAGAGCUCUGGGAAAGCACCUUUAGCCCAGAGGGAGCCUCUCAAACUGUGAGAAAAAUUGUGUGCGCAAGACAGAGAGAGGCGGGGGGGGAUAGAAAGUGAGAGCCGGUUAUGCAGCGCACUGCCGCUGUCACUUUAAGUCUGUUACUGAUUACACUCAGAAGAAUGCAAGCGGGAGGAGGAAAUGACAGGAAAAAAGAGUGUGGAUGAAAUCUUUUAGGGAGUUACGAGUGAAGUUUCGCGCAACUUGCCGUCACAGUUACAGACAAUGACGUGGGUGAGAAGUUGUUACCCAAUAGUGGGUCUCUAUCUCGCUCGCUCUCCUUCGUCUGUGUGUGUGUGUGUGCUGGAGGCAAGCAGAGUUAAAGACGCAAGGAUCCCUUCACGAAGAGCGAAGAACACCCAGAGACACCGAGAUUGGAGGGAGGAUGAGGAGCUGGGGGGAGUUUGAGGGGGGUUCCCUCAUUCCAAACUUCAGCACCAGGAGGAAACUCCCACCCAGACGGGAGGCCAUUUCUGCAACAACCUUUCUGAAAAUAUAACCGAACAUCCAUGUGACCUGCAGCAGUUUCCAAGAAAGAUGGCGUCCGCAGAAGUGUGCUGACUCCCGUCUGUUGCCUCGCUGCUCUCUGGUGACUGUCAGCUGCUCAGUAGGCAGUGUAGAUCCUGUGUAGCAAUCAGCAGCUACAUCUGGCUACUGGGUCUCUGACAGCUCCGCCCGCUUCCCGGUCCUACCGUCGGCCCGUGGCGCGUUCCCGCUCCAUCACUGGUCAGGGGGCCCGUGCAGUGACAGGAUGUUCUCUGUGUCACAACUCCACCAGGGCCCGUUAUCACAUUUGUUCUUCUUCCUGUUUUGUCAAUCUCAUUUUGCAUCUGUGAGUUUCUGACUUCUGAUUGAAUUCCGUUUACUUUGAUUAAGCUACAAAUGGAUACAUUUCAUUAAAAUUGUGUUGAAGAAUGCCUAAAAAGCCACACUAGGGAGAUAUUUGCUUUGUCCUGAACCUGGCAUACAAUGUAGAUUCCUGUGUGGUUCAAUUCUACAGCUACAUUGUCUGCUGGGUUUCUGGCUAGCAAUAUAAGCUUCUGUGACAUGAAGGUCAUCUUUACUCCAUAAGGUAAGAAUUGAUCUACUGUGCUGCCAAAAAGUAUUUGCCCCCUUUAAGAUUUCUUCUGUUUUUGUUGUUUUGUGACAUUUAAAUGUUUCAGAUUGUCCAACAAAUGUUAAAGUGGCAGUGUUAUGUUUUUUUCCAGACAUAUAAUAGCAUAUCAUA